CUACGUGCCAGCAGCCGCGGUAAUACGUAGGUGGCAAGCGUUGUCCGGAAUUAUUGGGCGUAAAGCGCGCGCAGGCGGAUUGGUCAGUCUGUCUUAAAAGUUCGGGGCUUAACCCUGUAUUGCGUUGGAAACUGCAUGACUAGAGUACUGGAGAGGUAAGCGGAACUACAAGUGUAGAGGUGAAAUUCGUAGAUAUUUGUAGGAAUGCCGAUGGGGAAGCCAGCUUACUGGACAGAUACUGACGCUAAAGCGCGAAAGCGUGGGUAGCAAACAGGAUUAGAUACCCUGGUAGUCCACGCCGUAAACGAUGAUUACUAGGUGUUGGGGGUCGAACCUCAGCGCCCAAGCUAACGCGAUAAGUAAUCCGCCUGGGGAGUACGUACGCAAGUAUGAAACUCAAAGGAAUUGACGGGGACCCGCACAAGCGGUGGAGCAUGUGGUUUAAUUCGACGCAACGCGAGGAACCUUACCAGGUCUUGACAUCCCUCUGACCGCUCUAGAGAUAGAGCUUUC
rnacentral:rRNA from 1 species